rnacentral:lncRNA from 1 species
CACAUUCUACAAGGUAUAAGUUAGUUCAGUAUUAAAAUUAACAUCGAAAUAACUUGUACCUAACUUGCUAAUCAAACAAAGUAUUAAAGUGAUAUUAAAUUUUUAUAUCACUCUUAUACCUUCUUAUACCGCAUGCCAGAUGAUCCAUUGAAAAAGAAAAAGAGGUAACAAGUGAAUAUUGUAAUGUAGUUAAGUGGGUCAACUGUCGCAAACAAUUUACUUGAGGGACCAUUCCGUAGUUCACGGAUAAAUCUUGGGAUUGACGCAGCUGAAAUUCGAACAUGAUUGUUGAUGCCUGGUACCUGAUCCGGGUUGUUGCAGGCCUCAACGAGUCAAUCCCCUAACGACGCUGUUUAGUGGUCCUGUAAUGACAAAUGAUGGCGUUUAAAUCUCAAUUUUGAGAUUGGACAGUGCAUAAGCAUCUUCUUCUGAAUCUAUCAGCUGAACAAAAAGUUAAAAAAAAAAAAAAGAACAAAGGAAAAGAUAAAAAGACAACAGAAAGAGGGCUUUUGGCAUCGAAUCUCAGCUCUGCAUCGGUUGUAAUCAAUAUUCUCGCUCAGCUCCUCUGCCCUCUCCCUCUGGUAAGCUUAGGUCCAAUGCUGUUUCCUAUUUCAUGUUUCUAUUGUUUGAUCUGUUCAAUUUCCUACUUCAUUUCGCUAAUUCAAACUGCAUUUGGUGGUUUCUUCUUUUUGUUUGCUCCGACUUGUAAAAUUUAGCUUCUGAUCUAAUUUGUGUAUCUCACAUUUGUUAUCGAUUGUCCGUGUUCAAAGCAACGAGAAACUGGAAACCAGUAAGAAGAAGAG